UACGUAGGGUGCGAGCGUUAAUCGGAAUACUGGGCGUAAAGCGUGCGCAGGCGGUGAUGUAAGACAGAUGUGAAAUCCCCCGGGCUUAACCUGGGAACUGCAUUUGUGACUGCAUCGCUGGAGUGCGGCAGAGGGGGAUGGAAUUCCGCGUGUAGCAGUGAAAUGCGUAGAUAUGCGGAGGAACACCGAUGGCGAAGGCAAUCCCCUGGGCCUGCACUGACGCU
rnacentral:rRNA from 1 species